rnacentral:lncRNA from 1 species
CAGAAAUAAGCAAAAUAAUUAGUACAAAAUUCGGGACCUCAAGUUUUUUUACAAGAGAAAGGAUCAUCUACGAGGUAUCGUGAUGAAAUAAUAUAAAUAUUAGUGUCGAAAACAAGAAUACAAGCAUAAUUGAGUCAACCAUUUGUACAAUUUAUCCUAAAUAUUAAUUAAACAAAAAAGCAUUCUGAAAUGCAUGAAGUAUGGUUUUACCUAUAUAUACAAGGGGCGUAGAUGGGCAACACCAGAUUGCAAGUUCUGGAACUGGCACUCCUUUGUAAUUGCAGGACAUAUGGGGGAAGACAUCGACGCCAGCCAUACUUUUGGUCGGCGACAGCGUCCCGGCCAUUUUUUUCCAUUCCUUCCAUGGCACCUUGGCUCAGGGUCAGUGCUACUGGUGGAAAGAGCUUCACCCCACUACUGAUUUUUUUUAAGGAUUCAUUCAUA